AUACUCUGGUUUCUUUUCAGAUCGUAUAAAUGUUUCUCCUUUUACUAAAGAUUUCUGACGCGAGGAGCAAUUCUGAGUCUUCACCCAGUUCUUUGAGGCCUUGCUUCUAGCAGGGCU